rnacentral:antisense_RNA from 1 species
AGCUACAUCCGUCACCUGACACGGCCCUACCAGGAACAGCCGCGCUCCCGCGGAUUCUGGUGCUGCUCGCGUCCCCGCUCCCCUAUUCCCCUUAUUUUAUUCCUGGCUCCCCUCGUCGAAAGUCUUCCAUUCUUCAAACUAGAUUAUUUAAAAAUGAAAAAGGAAGAAAGGAAAGCGAGGUCAUCUCAUUGCUCUAUCCGCCAAUCAGGAGGCUGAAUGUCAGUUUUGAACUAAAAGCCGCUCCGCUCCUCUUCUAGAUUUGGAAAACAAGCGAAAUUAAACUAAACCGCUGCACGCCUCUGAUGCGACAUCUGGACACUGCGUGGCGCUGGCGCUGCCGGAGCUGCGGGCCCGGCCUGGCGCCGGACUAGUCUCCCUUUUGAUGAGAAGAGUAAGUCUCAUUCUGAUUCAACAGCAGAGAUCAAAGAAAAGACUUCUGUUUUCUGGCCACCAGAUAUAUGUUAUCUGUGCUUAAAGAACUGAAAAACACACAUCAAAGGAGAAUUCUCUUGGAAAGAGAGGGUUCAAGCAUUAUUGUUAGGUGUGCUGGAAUCCUUUCCCGAGUCAGUACUGCUUUCUAGAACAGAACCAGGGAGAUCUAUUUGGAAUGUAUCUAACUCCAAAGAAACCAUCAGAGGUAAUAGGUGGAGAACUUCAGUAAAGGAAGUGGCAGGAAUUUGGGAAUGAAGAGCACAGUGAUUAAACUGGGGCCAUUCAUAUGAGAGUUUAAGAACUCAGGCCGGUGACUUAGAUUGGCUUCUCUCACAUGGCAAGAAACAUUGCUGCUAGCACUUCUGGAGUUCUACGUUCUACAACAUCCACCACUGGAUCUUAACAUAGAUGUAAGAUCAAAUGUAAUAGCACGUCAAACAAUGUGUAACUCCAGUUAUACAAACAUUACUGUAUGUCAUUGGGGAUACGAAGCUCUACACACUUGAAGAUGGUGAAGGAAUAUAAAAAUCUAUAUGUCUCACAGUCCAGACUUGGAGUACAAGUAAUAAGAAGAAUAAAACUUACUCCCUUAAGUAGAUUCACCAUAAGUUAGCUCAGGGCAAUUCCAGUGCAAGUAUGGUCUGUGAUCCAACAGUAUCUCACAGACAGCAAGUUGAACAUUGUGGGAUGCAUAAGCUAUUGAGGCCUUUGAAGCUUUCUGCUACAUGGAGGCUAGGGCCAGAGUCAAGAUUUAUGCUUUGCAGCACACUGGUCAGCUGUUUUUGCAAAUCAGAUUAAAUGAUUUUUAAAUGAGGCUGAGAGCAUGGGAGAUACUAAUGUGUGUUUCCUUGUGAGCUACUGCAUAAGUUAGGAAAUUGAAAUACAGAAAGAUGAAAAGUGAUUCGCC